GUUUCAUCAGAAGCCGGAGGACGGGCGCCAGGGGGCAACUUCCUACAGGAGGGCGUCCCGUUAGAAUGACAGGGCUUUUGCAAAAGUCUGACACCCGUGGCACAGAGCGCCCCAGAUAUGGAGGGUUUCACAGGCUCAUGUGUGGCUUCUUCAGUCCUCUCUUCAUUCACUCAUGUAUUCAUUUAUUCAACGACAUAUUACUAAGGAACCUCCUUAAGCCGGGAUGCUGAACGUGGAAAAAUAGUUGACUCUUGAACAAUGUGGGGGCUUGGGGCACCAACCCCCUGUGCAGUUGAAAAUCGACAUAUAACUUUGACUCGCCAAAAACUUCACUACAAUAGCCUGCUGCCAACCUGAAGUCUUACCAAUAACAUCAACAGUCAAUUAAACAUAUUACGUAUGUUAUAUGUAUUCUAUGCUGUAGUUUUACAAUAAAGUAAGCUGGAG
rnacentral:lncRNA from 10 species